GUCUGAGCGGCGUGAUUUCAGGGGUAUCGGCGUUCUUUUCGGACAUCCCGAAGUUCCGUCGAGCGCGCUAAGGCGUUGAAAUAACGAAGCCGCCAUCGAUGCUGAUGAUCGAG
rnacentral:sRNA from 1 species